rnacentral:rRNA from 1 species
AUUGAACGCUGGCGGAAUGCUUUACACAUGCAAGUCGAACGGCAGCACGGGUGCUUGCACCUGGUGGCGAGUGGCGAACGGGUGAGUAAUAUAUCGGAACGUAUCCAAUAAUGGGGGAUAACUAGCCGAAAGGUUAGCUAAUACCGCAUACGCCCUGAGGGGGAAAGCUGGGGAUCGUAAGACCUAGCGUUGAUGGAGCGGCCGAUAUCUGAUUAGCUAGUUGGUGGGGUAAGAGCCUACCAAGGCGACG